UUUUUUUUUUUUUUUUUUUUUUUUAAGUUGCCUGUCUGGACUAGGCAUGGGGAGUACCUGAAGGGUCUUGGUGAAGUACAAACCCCAUUUCUUUCCCUUGGGUUCCCAAGAGGCAGUUGAAAGCAUCUGGAAGAGUACACUUGGGUGCUUACCAUUGUACAGAUGUACUUCUGCCUCUCUCCGUUGAUCAUAAUUUAGUCAGUGCAGACAGAGCUAACCUGCCUAUCCUGGGGCUCUGUGACUGUGGCUCUGACAUGGGAGUAAUUCUUCCUUUUAAUGCAUGGGUUACUCUUCCACCACCUAUACUUUUCACUUCUCUUCCCACCUUAGACGACAUAACUGAUUUUUUUUUGUUUUGUUUUGUUUUGUUUUGACGUAACUGAGUUUAACCCCUUUCUGAGUCUGGCCUUGACAUCUGGCUGGCUGGCCGUAGGCUGUUCUUUCCCAAACUAAAGUGAGUCCAGUGCAGACCUUUUCUCUUACCCGUCUCCAGAUAUACCAUAGCUCCCCGAGAUUUCAGAGUACUUACCUGGGUUAGGAGGUGGUUCAUGGAGAGUUCCAAAAUUGGGGGAAGAGGCAGGGGAAGAUGAUGAGAGAGAGAAGGGUGUAGGUGGAUGUGUGUGUGGGUGGAUGUGUGAAUGAGUGGGAGUCUGCUCCUAUAUUUUAGACUUAAGCUAUGGUAGAUUUACCCACCCAAUAUCCUUUUCGGUCAGCAGAGUAUUUCUUAAAUCCAUCUCAGUAAUUUUGAUUAGCCAUCUAUUUGCUUUGUUACCUUAUAACCAAUUAAAAGUGCCUAUGAUAAGGACUUAGUUAUUUCCUAAAGAAAAGCAAAAACUGUGGGGAACAGGGUAGCGUUACACUAUCAUCUCAGGUUCCACCUGUGUUCAACAACAUAGACCUGGUAUGGUGAGAACAAAAAGUUCCCCUGCCAAAUUCAGAUUGGUCUGUCAGGGCUGCUGGGCCACAAGUAAGCAUAAGUACAAGGCUUGAUUUCAGCUGACAGGUCCCUAUGGCAGGAGCAGAACUGAUGAAAUGCCACAUGGUCUUUUCAUCUGCAGUUUGCUUGCAGUUCAUUCUCCCCUGGAUCAUAUCAGCUGUCUACCCCUGUCCCAUUCCUGUAGGAGGUGACUGGGUGGGAGAAGCCAAGUGGACAGUGCAGACCAAGCAUUCCUGGGUCUUCUCACCAAUGAGAGCAGUGCCGAUGGCGGCUCUCUGAGGCACCUACACGGCGGCUCUCUGAGGCACCUACACACCGGCCACGUGCCAGGUCUAACAGACCUUCUCUAACACACCGCUGCUCACCAGGCUCAAAGCUGCUGUGUUCCCUUCAGAGAAGGAAGAGGCUCAGUCUGCUUGGCUGGAGAAGACAGAAGAGCUUAAUCUUUGGGGGCUCAGAGAGGAGGUGGUUAUAAGAAAGGGAACAGUAAGAAAAUCAGUCAAAGGGUAGAUAUUGAGGAGGGAGCAUGACUUCUUGAGAGAGUUAGGGGGCACCAUGUUCAUGAUCUGGAAUUGUGUCCUGAGUUGGGCACGGCACCCUGGACUGAUCCCGGUGGGACUGGAAGAUGGUGCCCUUGGGGCAGAUGCUGAGUCCCAGAAAGAGCUGGUGGCGUUGGGUCUUGGUCCACACCUACUCAGGGAAAUAACUUAGGUUCUCCCAGGUGCUGUAUUAAGGAUAGAAGCAAAACUAUUUGGGGAACACAAGCAGCAAUUGGAAGAAUUUUUAUAUAUGAUUGAAAUGGUUCUAAGCCCACUCAGCAGUUUCCCUUAAUGCCAGUUCAGACUGCACGAUUUGUUUAGAAACCUGUUACUGCAUGAGCACCCAUGGGAAAAAGCAAACUUCCCUCCUACAAAUAAAUGGGAUUGGAUAAUAACAGAUCAGCGUUAAGGUCAUUGAAAUCUAAGCCCUUCCAAAAGCAAAAAGCAGGGUCCAUGGGGGCACACGAGAAGCCACAGUUUAUCAGUGAGUUUAAUAAAUCUGAGAUGGCAUAACAUCCUGCUUUUAAUAACUAACCCCAGGAUGGGAGUUGGGGAGAGGAGGUGGCGGUGAAGCAUCUGGCCAAGAAAACCAGUAAUAAUACAUACUUUUGAGCUCUAUGGAUGUGUUCAUGGAAACAACUGCAAGCAGGUGCUGUGGAGGCUGGGGAAAGUGAUGUGAUGGGUUAUACAGCUGAUGGGAUGAGUACUUCUGUGUAGAGACUCAACAAUGUGCUACAAAUGUGAUACUUAACCCUGAACUGCAUGUAUUGGGGAUUGUUCAAAAAAAAAAAAAAAAAAACCUUUCAUUGAAUCAAUAAAUUAACAGUUUUGCACUUGCUGGCUUUUCUUGCUGUAAAUGGUAACUAAGAGGUUGGGACAGAAAUCUUGACACCCUGUGGAAAGCUUGGAUAAAUCUUCAAGACCCAUGGAGCCAACUAUUUCCUUCUGUUUGCAGAAAAGCACCACUGCCUGGGUUGCUAUCCUUUCCAAAUGACCACUUCAGACGCACUUGGCCACCUCUUUGUAUCACUGGAUGACUGAUGCAUGACUGACGUGCUGCUGCCCUUAGAGGAAAGACAAAUGCCAUGUUCACUCCUGUUUUCAUAAAUAAAAAUGUUGAUAACCACCAUCUUCCCAAAGCGGGAGACAAGCCACUGUUCUGAG
rnacentral:lncRNA from 1 species